CGCGGCCUAUCAGCUUGUUGGUGAGGUUAUGGCUUACCAAGGCGACGACGGGUAGCCGGCCUGAGAGGGUGUCCGGCCACACUGGGACUGAGAUACGGCCCAGACUCCUACGGGAGGCAGCAGUGGGGAAUAUUGCACAAUGGGCGCAAGCCUGAUGCAGCGACGCCGCGUGGGGGAUGACGGCCUUCGGGUUGUAAACCUCUUUCAGCUAUGACGAAGCGCAAGUGACGGUAGUAGCAGAAGAAGCACCGGCCAACUACGUGCCAGCAGCCGCGGUAAUACGUAGGGUGCGAGCGUUGUCCGGAAUUACUGGGCGUAAAGAGCUCGUAGGUGGUUUGUCGCGUUGUUCGUGAAAACCUGAGGCUUAACCUUGGGCGUGCGGGCGAUACGGGCAGACUGGAGUACUGCAGGGGAGACUGGAAUUCCUGGUGUAGCGGUGGAAUGCGCAGAUAUCAGGAGGAACACCGGUGGCGAAGGCGGGUCUCUGGGCAGUAACUGACGCUGAGGAGCGAAAGCGUGGGGAGCGAACAGGACUAGAUACCCUGGUAGUCCACGCCGUAAACGGUGGGUACUAGGUGUGGGUUUCCUUCCUUGGGAUCCGUGCCGUAGCUAACGCAUUAAGUACCCCGCCUGGGGAGUACGG
rnacentral:rRNA from 1 species